AGAUAUUCCACCCCAUCCUGAUAUUCCAGGAGCUGAAGAGUCGAAUCCAUAAUCCACUGACAAAUACGGUACAUGCAUUUGUUGACACUGAAUGUAUCUACAGGUAUGCAGUGCGUAAAUAUGCAUAUAGAUAUUCCUCACAUUUCACACUCUUUAUUCAAGGAACGGGUGGUUAUACCAAAGGAAGAGUACAACCAGAAGGCCCCUGUCUCUGUGCCUGAUGUGUCUACUGUUUCUGAGGUGCUGCCUCACCCGUAUUCCCUCAGCCUGAGCUGCACACUUUAAAGCAGCAGCCAGCACCACCACAACAGAUCCACAUCCAGCAGCACCUCCAGUUCCACUUCCUCCCAGACAGAAAGGAGUGGAAGUGGUCGACUGUUGCAUAAUAAAAGCUCCGCUGCUUUUGAGCCGUGUCAUGCUCGUUCAGCAGCCUCGUUUCACUUUGACGGCUUUUAGCCUCACCCUGUUUCAUACUACUACUACGUUCUGCCCGAGUCCCGUCAGAUUG
ensembl:lncRNA